rnacentral:rRNA from 1 species
GAUGAACGCUGGCGGCGUGCUUAACACAUGCAAGUCGAUCGAAGCACUUUAUUUGAUUUCCUUCGGGACUGAUUAUUUUGUGACUGAGUGGCGGACGGGUGAGUAACGCGUGGGUAACCUGCCUUGUACAGGGGGAUAACAGUUGGAAACGGCUGCUAAUACCGCAUAAGCGCACAGCAUCGCAUGAUGCAGUGUGAAAAACUCCGGUGGUAUAAGAUGGACCCGCGUUGGAUUAGCUAGUUGGUGAGGUAACGGCCCACCAAGGCGACGAUCCAUAGCCGACCUGAGAGGGUGACCGGCCACAUUGGGACUGAGACACGGCCCAAACUCCUACGGGAGGCAGCAGUGGGGAAUAUUGCACAAUGGGCGAAAGCCUGAUGCAGCGACGCCGCGUGAGCGAAGAAGUAUUUCGGUAUGUAAAGCUCUAUCAGCAGGGAAGAUAAUGACGGUACCUGACUAAGAAGCACCGGCUAAAUACGUG